AACUCUUAGCGGUGGAUCACUCGGUUCGUGCGUCGAUGAAGAACGCAGCUAGCUUCAAGAACUAAUGUGAAUUGCAGGACACAUUGAUCAUCGACACUUCGAGCGCACCUUGCAGCCCCGGGUUGUGUGUGAGCACGCGGUG
ensembl:rRNA 5_8S_rRNA 5.8S ribosomal RNA